UUACACUAAUUUAUACAAUUUUGUAAUGAAAAACAUAAACACCCAUAUCUCCAAAAAGUGUAAUGUAGUGUGAGCUUAGUUUAAUUAUUUGGUUCACUGUAGUUUAGUGCUUUAGUGGGAAGUACUUCAUGUGUCUUUGAAGCUAAAAUGAGGUCAUUCAUCAGCUUGUGCAGCUAGUUUUAAAGCAUGGUCCUACUGGAAAAAUGCAAAACAAAUGGAAAUGCGGUGCUCACGGUAAACUGCUCAAUGAGGUCUUAGCACAUGACUGGCUGUUCCUUCUUUCUGUUUGACAAAACUGCUGACCUGAAGAAAAAUACAAACAGGAAAAGGUUACCCUGGACCAAUCCUUUAUGAGAGAAUAUCAUCACACAAUAUGUGGCAGGAUAUGUAAAAAAAAUUAAUAAAAAAAUGUUAAUUCGGAUUCUUGCUGGUUAA